AUGGUUAAGCAGACCAUCCAGAUAUUCGCUCGGGUUAAACCUACCAAGAAGCCCUUGGGGGUUUACUCCGCAGACAAUGAAGAGCCUGGCAGCUCCAGCUUGGAGUUCCUCGUCCCUCGAGAUUUGGCUGAUGGCUUCAUCAACAACAAAAGGGAGAGCUACAGGUUCAGGUUUCAGAAGGUCUUUGAUCAGGCGGCCAAACAAGAGGACAUCUUUGAGGAGAUCGCCAGGCCGGUGGCUGACAGUGUCUUGGCUGGCUACAAUGGCACCAUCUUCGCCUACGGGCAGACUGGCAGCGGGAAGACCUUCACCAUCACCGGAGGGGCCGAGCGCUAUGGUGACCGGGGCAUCAUCCCACGCACGCUCUCCUACCUCUUCCAACAGUUCGACAAGGAUACAAGUAAAGUGUACAGUGCCCGCGUCUCCUACUUGGAGAUCUACAACGAGAACGGCUAUGACCUCCUGGACCCCCGGCACGAGGCCGCCAAGCUGGAGGAUUUGCCGAAAGUCACCAUCAUGGAAGACACGGAACAGAACAUCCACUUGAAGAACCUGUCGUCCCUGCAGGCGGCCAACGAGGAGGACGCGCUCAACCUGCUCUUCUUGGGAGACACCAACCGCAUGAUAGCCGAGACCCCAAUGAAUCAGGCCUCCACCCGUUCCCACUGCAUCUUCACGGUCCACAUCUCCAGUCGGGAGCCCGGCUCGGCCACUGUGCGCCGCUCCAAGCUGCACCUGGUUGACCUGGCUGGCUCUGAACGUGUGGCCAAAACUGGCGUCGGUGGUCACCUGCUGACUGAGGCCAAAUAUAUCAACCUGUCCCUACACUACCUGGAGCAGGUGAUCAUCGCUCUGUCAGAGAAGAAUCGCUCGCACAUUCCCUACCGGAACUCCAUGAUGACCUCGGUGCUCCGAGACAGCCUGGGAGGAAACUGCAUGACCUCGAUGAUCGCCACCGUCUCUGCGGAGAAGAAGAAUAUUGAUGAGUCGAUCUCGACCUGCCGCUUUGCGCAGAGGGUGGCCCUCAUCAAGAACGAGGCGGUCCUCAACGAGGAGCUGGACCCCGCACUGAUGAUCGCGCGCCUCAAGAGAGAAGUCCAGGAGCUGAAGGACGAGCUGGCCCUGGUGACUGGAGAGCAGCGGACGGAGCAGCUCACUGAGGAGGAACUCCAAAAAUUGGAGGAGCAGAUUAAAACAUUUUUGGAAGAUGGAGACCCUGAAGCAUCUCUGGAGGUCGGGGUGGACAUGCGCAAGAUUCACCACUGUUUCCAGAGACUCAAGGUAUAUGCCAAAGAAAAAACGGUGCCUUCUGCUGUCGGAGACCACGGAGAUUCGCACGCCGCUCCCCAGGAUGAGCCGCUGCCCGACGAAGUGAAGCUCAGUAGGCUGGCGAAGAUGGAGGAGCUCCUGCAGCAGAGAGAUAAUGAAAUCAGUAUCCUGGUGAAUAUGCUGAAGAAGGAGAAGAAAAGAGCCCAGGAUGCCAUUAACCAGGCGUCCGUGGGUUCCAAGGAAGUUUUUGCCACAAAAAAUCCAACACCUCCACCUACGGGCAUUCAGACUGGCGAGAGCGUGACCACCGAGAGCAAGCGCCGCCCUCUGCAUUUGAAAACAGGUGCAGCUCUGUCUCUGGGGCGGCAGGAGGCCUUUGAAAUUUUUGCGAGAGACCACGUGGACAGCAUCACCUUUGAAGACAACAAGGCCAUCUUGAGACUCAGGAUUGCUGAAGCCAAAUCCUUAGGAGAAAACCUGAAGACGGCGAGAAGUCGGAUCAAUGAGCUGAAGCAGCAGAUGGAGCAGCGGCGCCUGCAGAGGGCAGCACUGGGCAUGACCUCAAACGAUGGUGAGCACUUGGCCGAGAGCGACCCCAUGGAAGAGGAGCUUCGGGACAAAAUCGAGGAAGAGAAAAAGAGCUACAAAGCGAUUCACGGCCGUCUGAAGAGCCUGAAGACCGAAAUCGAGCAUCUGCAGCUCCUGCAGUACAAGGCCAAGGCGAAGCUGCAGAAGGACUUCGAGGGCUGGUGGGCAGACGAGGCGGCCCACCUGCAGGCUGAAGAGCAGAGGUCGGCGUCGAGUUCAUCAGACAGACUCACCAGCAGCGUUCCUCUGUCGUCAUCAUCAUCAUCGUCAUCUCUGGAUUCCCUUCACAAGUUCAGAAAUCCAAACCCUGGCUACACGAGGGAGGCGGCGCUGCAGAGCAGUUCAGACAGCCGUGUGACAUCAGCCUUGUCAGGUGGCAGGCCCCCUGGAGUGCCGGGCUCCGCCAUCCCUCUGACUGGAAACCCCCUGGUGGACGCGGAUAUCGUGGCUUUCGUUAAGGCGAGACAGACCAUCCAUCAGAGGAUAGACCUCCCCAGGUGAGCUUUGUCCUCCCUUUCUGGACCUCAACGCCGUGAAUGUGGCAGACUGGCUGCUUUUAUACCCGCGCACUUCUGGUGCCAGCACUUAUUCCCAGGAAGCACUUCAGGGUCAGGCUGAGCAGUUCUUUCCCAACAGCACCCUCUGGUGGCCACCGAGGAACCCAACAGGGCCUUCAGAAUAAAUGAACUGCUUGGGGCGUCUGGACGUCACUCAGCUGCUGCUUGUCACUGCCAGGCUGGCACCAGACUUCAAGGACCAAUCUGUCACCCCAAAUAGACUGGCACAGAUCCCAACCAUGGGAGCUGGGAUGGCCGAGGGGACAAUGAGAGAAGACUAAGGUGUCCGGCGGGGGGCACCCUGUUGUAUGAAAGCCACCAAUUGCUGAGCAAAUUUGUCACAUCAACUUUCGUAUUUAUUUUUUAUUUUUUUCCCAUAAACUUGAUUUUUUUUUUAUAAAGGUGAAGAAAUAAAUGAAA